UUCCAUAUACACUCCCAUUUUCCCGCCAAAAUUGACUCCCAAAAACUGCCACUUUAUAUAAUGAAAGAUUCCUAACUAGGUAUUUAUACUGUGUGUUCCACUUCAACCCUUACUCCCUUACUUCGAUAUGGGAUAAUAAUCGGCGAUUUGUGACAUCUGAGCUUGAGAUUUUCGAUGGUUCGCGAGGGUUUUUUGGAAAAUGGUUGGAGGUGGGGAUAGGAGGGAUGAGGGAUCGUUUACCGUGAGCAACACCAAUGUUUUUGCGGCGCUGGAGACUUUGAGGAAGAUCAAAGAAAGGGGAGGAGAAGCCGGUGUACUGGGCUCCGGCACCUCUGACAGUGAAGACGUGGGCGGAUGUGGAUGAUGAGGACGACGAUGAUUACUAUGCCACCACGGCUCCUCCCCAUGCGAUGUGGGGUGGUUCUGGUGUGGAAAAAGUGGAUGAAACUCAGAAACUAGAUCAUUUGGAGGAAAGUGAGAGUGAAGAUGAGCUUCUUGAUGAAGGUGAUGAAGAACCAUUAUAACCAGCAGCCAAUCCGGUAAGAAGAAAGUCAGAGGUGUGGUUAUGGAGCUCGGAUCAAAUGGAGAUAGAUGGGUUUCUGUGGUUAAUAAAACUCCGAGCUCUUGCCCUCUAGUUUUGCAGUAGACGAACUUCGAAUAUAAUUUUGCAUUUUGAACAUGUUUUUUUAGUUUUUUUCUUUGUAGAUUUGCCUCAGCUUUGGUUCUUUUGAUGCCAUCACAACUUUAUAUUCUCCUAAUACAUAUCACAUGUACAUACUCCAUAUAUUGAUGGUGUUAGCAUUUUAUUCUAUUGGGGAAGGCAUAUUGGGCUUUUAUUAA